AGAUUUUAUUAGUUUCUAUAUGUGAUAGCUUGUUAUUGGAUGUUUUUUUUAAUUCUGUAUUAGUAUUAGUUAUAAUAAGCUGUAAGCUAUCUUAAUAAAAUAAAA